UGGGGAAUAUUGCACAAUGGGCGCAAGCCUGAUGCAGCCAUGCCGCAUGUGUGAAGAAGGCCUUCGGGUUGUAAAGCACUUUCAGCGAGGAGGAAGGUGGUGAACUUAAUACGUUCAUCAAUUGACGUUACUCGCAGAAGAAGCACCGGCUAACUCCGUGCCAGCAGCCGCGGUAAUACGGAGGGUGCAAGCGUUAAUCGGAAUUACUGGGCGUAAAGCGCACGCAGGCGGUUUGUUAAGUCAGAUGUGAAAUCCCCGGGCUCAACCUGGGAACUGCAUUUGAAACUGGCAAGCUAGAGUCUCGUAGAGGGGGGUAGAAUUCCAGGUGUAGCGGUGAAAUGCGUAGAGAUCUGGAGGAAUACCGGUGGCGAAGGCGGCCCCCUGGACGAAGACUGACGCUCAGGUGCGAAAGCGUGGGGAGCAAACAGGAUUAGAUACCCUGAUAGUCCACGCUGUAAAACGAUGUCGAUUUUGGAGGUUGUGCCCUUGAGGCGUGGCUUCCGGAGCUAACGCGUUAAAUCGACCGCCUGGGGAGUACGGCCGCAAGGUUAAAACUCAAAUGAAUUGACGGGGUCAU
rnacentral:rRNA from 1 species